UACGUAGGGCGCGAGCGUUGUCCGGAUUUAUUGGGCGUAAAGAGCUCGUAGGCGGUUUGUCGCGUCUGCUGUGAAAACCCGAGGCUCAACCUCGGGCCUGCAGUGGGUACGGGCAGACUAGAGUGCGGUAGGGGAGAUUGGAAUUCCUGGUGUAGCGGUGGAAUGCGCAGAUAUCAGGAGGAACACCGAUGGCGAAGGCAGAUCUCUGGGCCGUAACUGACGCUGAGGAGCGAAAGCAUGGGGAGCGAACAGG
rnacentral:rRNA from 1 species